GAUGAACGCUAGCUACAGGCUUAACACAUGCAAGUCGAGGGGUAGCAGGGUAGCAAUACCGCUGACGACCGGCGCACGGGUGAGUAACACGUAUCCAACCUUCCCAUAACUCGGGGAUAGCCUUUCGAAAGAAAGAUUAAUACCGGAUGGUACUUUUUCAGGGCAUCUUGAGAAAGUUAAAGAUUUAUUGGUUAUGGAUGGGGAUGCGUUCCAUUAGAUAGUUGGUGAGGUAACGGCCCACCAAGUCUUCGAUGGAUAGGGGUUCUGAGAGGAAGGUCCCCCACAUUGGUACUGAGACACGGACCAAACUCCUACGGGAGGCAGCAGUGAGGAAUAUUGGUCAAUGGGCGAGAGCCUGAACCAGCCAAGUAGCGUGAAGGAUGAAGGUCCUAUGGAUUGUAAACUUCUUUUAUAGUAGAAUAAAGUGAUCCACGUAUGGAUUUUUGUAUGUAUACUAUGAAUAAGGAUCGGCUAACUCCGUGCCAGCAGCCGCCGCUG
rnacentral:rRNA from 1 species